rnacentral:rRNA from 1 species
GAUGAACUCUGGCGGCGUGCUUAACACAUGCAAGUCGAGCGAAGCACUUAUGAUGAUCCUUCGGGUGAUUCAUUUAUGACUGAGCGGCGGACGGGUGAGUAACGCGUGAGUAACCUGCCUCAUACAGGGGAAUAACAGUUAGAAAUGACUGCUAAUGCCGCAUAAGCGCACAGGACCACAUGGUCUGGUGUGAAAAAACUCCGGUGGUAUGAGAUGGACUCGCGUCUGAUUAGCUAGUUGGUGAGGUAACGGCCCACCAAGGCGACGAUCAGUAGCCGGCCUGAGAGGGUGAACGGCCACAUUGGGACUGAGACACGGCCCAAACUCCUACGGGAGGCAGCAGUGGGGAAUAUUGCACAAUGGGGGAAACCCUGAUGCAGCGACGCCGCGUGAGUGAAGAAGUAUUUCGGUAUGUAAAGCUCUAUCAGCAGGGAAGAAAAUGACGGUACCUGACUAAGAAGCCCCGGCUAACUACGUGCCAGCAGCCGCGGUAAUACGUAGGGGGCAAGCGUUAUCCGGAUUUACUGGGUGUAAAGGGAGCGUAGACGGCUUUGCAAGUCUGACGUGAAAAUCCGGGGCUCAACCCCGGAACUGCGUUGGAAACUGUGAGGCUUGAGUGCCGGAGAGGUAAGCGGAAUUCCUAGUGUAGCGGUGAAAUGCGUAGAUAUUAGGAGGAACACCAGUGGCGAAGGCGGCUUACUGGACGGCAACUGACGUUGAGGCUCGAAAGCGUGGGGAGCAAAC